GUUGUUUUGUUUUUUAAUAAUAAGACUAUUUAGCAAUUUGUGUUACACAGCUUGCUCCCUAUCACUCGCUCACUUUCUUUCUUAUAAAAUCCAGGACCAUCUGCCCAGAGUGGCACCACUCAGUGGGCUGGGCCUUCCGACAUCAACCGUUAAUCAAGACAAUCCCUGGUAGACAUGCCCACAGGCCAAUCUGAAGGAGGCAAUUCUUAAAUUGAAGUUCCUCUUCCCAGGCCCAUGGGUGUGUCUCCUUGGUGAUUUUAGUUUUGGUUGUGAGCGCAGCCGUUAACAGCUGAGCCAUCUCUCCAGCCCUCCUAGCCUUCUUUACCCAGCUGCUGCUGAUUCCUUUGCCGGCACGAGAACCAGAGCUUCCAGGCGUCCAUCCCUAAGGACCAGCAGCUCUCCAGGACCCUUCCAUAUUUUUGGCUCAAGAACGGGUGCUGAGGCACUGAGCCUCGUGGACCAACCAGUUCUCAGACUCUCAGAACCUCGGAUCAGGCCUCUCCAGCUAAGGAAGACGCUCCAAGCCACCUGGAGGGCCACCCCCAAGAAGAACCUCAGGAUUCAGACUCUCGGUGACUACAGAGCUUCGGCACCUCAGAACUGCCAGGCUAGCAGUGUUACCCCAGCAAUUUACAGAGAGAAAAGAGCAUGCAGCCUGCCUGAGUGCUGCCCCAGGCUGGUGCCCCGACCUUUGUCAGAGCCUAACCAGAGCUCGCAAACGGCAUUGUAUCCUGGCAACUACAACUGUAUUGAUCCUGGCAACUGGCGCUGUAUUCUGAUUCUGAUAAAGGUAUAAACAGUCUGACUGCUCUCAAUAAAAAUGUCCCAGCCUUCGUGGUGCUGUGGUCCCUCCAGCCGGGCCUGAUUCACUCCUCAGCGCUGUAUCAGGUGACCUUGGAGUGAAAUGGGUCUGUACAAAGCGCAUCUUACUUGAUGACCAGGACACCUGCAGCAGCACAGGUGGACAGUGCACACAGAGAAGGGCACUACCCACAAGACCCUCACUAGAGCCGCUCCUCAGCUGGGGGGUCUCAGCCGCAAACAGGAACAACUUCCCAGCCGCGACCACCAAACUGUAAAUACUCAAGUCUUAAGACUUGAGCUCCAGCUUCACCUCACUCUAAAUGCCAGCUUCUUAGGGCUAUGGUGUCUGAGCUGACUGCAGGUGACAGUGCUUGCCUGCAGGCCCGAAGACCUAAUCUCAAUCCCCGGGACCCGUGAAGUGAAAGGAAAGAAGCAAUUCCCACAAGUUGUCCUCUGACCUCCACACAUACAACAUGGCACACUUGUGUCAUCCCUCUCCCGAACAAACAAACAAACAAACAAACAAAUGUAACUAAACAAUUUUAAGGGUUUCUGAAUGUUUAAUCAAAUGCAUAAUCUCACUACAGUCUUGGUUCCAAAUGCACAACACAUACACCUCACCCUCACAACACAAACAAACGCUGCUUAAAAUAUCUCAAUUCCACAGACAAACUUUUCUGCUCUUAUAUAAUGGUUU